UGCGUAGCGUUGGGCGCCGCUGAAAUAGCGUAAUUCUGGAGCGUAUAAUCAACGGCUAGCCUACACGGCAGCAGGGGAAGACAGAAGUUCUGCCAAUAAACAUAACAGUGAUCGUCAAAAGAUGCCACAUUACUUUACUUUACGUUACUUUUGCAAAGAAUGCAUUGGGAACAGCCAUGCUGAGCAGCAGACCCUCCUUUUGGUUUCAGUCUGAUCCACCCAUCAGCUCCUAUCUGGCAAAGAGGGCUCCAGUUAC